rnacentral:rRNA from 1 species
UACGUAGGUGGCGAGCGUUGUCCGGAAUUACUGGGUGUAAAGGGCGUGUAGGCGGGUCUUUAAGUCAGAUGUGAAAUUCCCGGGCUCAACUUGGGAGCUGCAUUUGAAACUGAGGAUCUUGAGUGCAGGAGAGGAAAGCGGAAUUCCUAGUGUAGCGGUGAAAUGCGUAGAUAUUAGGAGGAACACCAGUGGCGAAGGCGGCUUUCUGGACUGCUACUGACGCUGAGGCGCGAAAGCGUGGGGAG